AGCUGGCGGCGUGCCUAAAUCAUGCAAGUUCUAGCGGACAGAAUGGGUAGCUUGCUCCCUGAUGUUAGCGGCGGACGGGUGAGUAACACGUGGGUAACCUGCCUGUAAGACUGGGAUAACUCCGGGAAACCGGGGCUAAUACCGGAUGGUUGUUUGAACCGCAUGGUUCAGACAUAAAAGGUGGCUUCGGCUACCACUUACAGAUGGACCCGCGGCGCAUUAGCUAGUUGGUGAGGUAACGGCUCACCAAGGCGACGAUGCGUAGCCGACCUGAGAGGGUGAUCGGCCACACUGGGACUGAGACACGGCCCAGACUCCUACGGGAGGCAGCAGUAGGGAAUCUUCCGCAAUGGACGAAAGUCUGACGGAGCAACGCCGCGUGAGUGAUGAAGGUUUUCGGAUCGUAAAGCUCUGUUGUUAGGGAAGAACAAGUGCCGUUCAAAUAGGGCGGCACCUUGACGGUACCUAACCAGAAAGCCACGGCUAACUACGUGCCAGCAGCCGCGGUAAUACGUAGGUGGCAAGCGUUGUCCGGAAUUAUUGGGCGUAAAGGGCUCGCAGGCGGUUUCUUAAGUCUGAUGUGAAAGCCCCCGGCUCAACCGGGGAGGGUCAUUGGAAACUGGGGAACUUGAGUGCAAAAGAGGAGAGUGGAAUUCCACGUGUAGCGGUGAAAUGCGUAAAGAUGUGGAAGAAACACCAGUGGCGAAGGCGACUCUCUGGUCUGUAACUGACCCUGAGGA
rnacentral:rRNA from 1 species